rnacentral:rRNA from 1 species
AUACGGAGGGUGCGAGCGUUGUUCGGAAUUACUGGGCGUAAAGCGCACGUAGGCGGCAUUGUAAGUUGGGGGUGAAAUCCCAGGGCUCAACCCUGGAACUGCCUCCAAAACUACAGAGCUAGAGGAUGUGAGAGGAUAGUGGAAUUCCGAGUGUAGAGGUGAAAUUCGUAGAUAUUCGGAAGAACACCAGUGGCGAAGGCGACUGUCUGGCACAUUUCUGACGCUGAGGUGCGAAAGCGUGGGGAGCGAACAGGAUUAGAAACCCUAGUAGUCC